GAUUGAACGCUGGCGGCAGGCUUACACAUGCAAGUCGAACGUGGACGCCCUUUCGAGGGUUAGUAGCGUGGCGGACGGGUGAGUAACGCGUGGGUGACCUGCCCUCUGGUGGGGGAUAACCCGGGGAAACCCGGGCUAAUACCGCAUACGUCCACGGGCUUUGGUCCGUGGGGAAAGCUGGCCUCUGAUGCAAGCUAGUGCCGGAGGAGGGGUCCGCAUCGGAUUAGCUAGUUGGUGGGGUAACGGCUCACCAAGGCGACGAUCCGUAGCUGGUCUGAGAGGAUGAUCAGCCACACUGGGACUGAGACACGGCCCAGACGCCUACGGGCGGCAGCAGUGGGGAAUCUUGGACAAUGGGGGCAACCCUGAUCCAGCCAUGCCGCGUGGGUGAAGAAGGCCUUCGGGUUGUAAAGCCCUUUCAGCAGGGAAGACGCCGGGUCGUUCCAACAGGGCGGCCUUGGUGACGUUACCUGCAGAAGAAGCACCGGCCAGCUCCGUGCCAGCAGCCGCGGUAAUACGGAGGGUGCAAGCGUUGUCCGGAAUCACUGGGUGUAAAGGGUGUGCAGGCGGGGCAGCAAGUCGGGUGUGAAACCCCAUGGCUUAACCAUGGAGGUGCAUUCGAAACUGUUGCUCUUGAGUCCCGGAGAGGCUGUCGGAAUUCGUGGUGUAGCGGUGAAAUGCGUAGAUAUCACGAGGAACACCAGAGGCGAAAGCGGGCAGCUGGACGGGUACUGACGCUCAGGCACGAAAGCGUGGGGAGCAAACAGGAUUAGAUACCCUGGUAGUCCACGCCGUNAACGAUGAAUGCUCGCCGUUGCCCCGCUUAAGGGGCAGUGGCUAAGUUAACGCGUUAAGCAUUCCACCUGGGGGAGUACGAUCGCAGGGUUGAAACUCAAAGGAAUGGACGGGGGCCCGCACAAGCGGUGGAGCAUGUGGCUCAAUUCGAUGCAACGCGAAGAACCUUACUUAGGCUCGAACGCUAGAGGACCGCUCAUGAAAGGGAGCUUCCCCUUUGGGGCCUCUAGCGAGGUACUGCAUGGCUGUCGUCAGCUCGUGUCGUGAGAUGUUGGGUUAAGUCCCGCAACGAGCGUAACCCCUGUUGCUAGUUACCAUCGGGUAAUGCCGGGGACUCUAGCGAAACUGCCUGCGCAAGCAGUGAGGAAGGUGGGGAUGACGUCAAGUCAUCAUGGUCCUUACGCCUAGGGCUGCACACGUGCUACAAUGGCCGGUACAACGGGUAGCCACCUCGCGAGAGGGAGCGAAUCCCUGAAAACCGGUCCCAGUUCGGAUUGGAGUCUGCAACUCGACUCCAUGAAGCAGGAAUCGCUAGUAAUCGCGGAUCAGCAAUGCCGCGGCGAAUCCGUUCCCGGGCCUUGUACACACCGCCCGUCAAGCCAUGGAAGCUGAGAGCACCCGAAGUCCGUGACUCAACUCCGGCCUUGCGUCGGAGAGAGAGCGGCCGAAGGUGAGCUCAGUGACUGGGGCU
rnacentral:rRNA from 1 species